UUGACGGAUCUCGAUCCACCAACCACACGACCGACCACCAGUAGCUACAGGUAAAGAGACGGCGCCCGCGAGCGAGCUACGGCGGCAGCCGGAGCAAGGGAGCGGGCGACGGAGGUGGUGGUUUCGCCCCGGUUAACCUGUAGCUACUCCUCGCCUCGCGCAAGCGAGCGACAGCGGCAGCCGAGCUUCUCCUCGACCCGGCGGCAGCGCCGACCAGUUUCACCCCGGUCUGACUGUAGCUUCUCCCUGCCUCGCGCGAGUGAGCGACGGCGGCAGCGGAGCUUCUUCCCUACCCCGGCGGCAGCACCGACCAGUUUCACCCUGGUCUGAGUGUAGCUUCUCCCUGCCACAGAUGGAAUCAAGUGAGAAGACUGCUGCAACUGUUGGCCCCUUGUCGAGGAUGAAGACGACGAAAUCAACAGAUCGAUUUGGUACGAUUCCGCUGGCAUCCCAACUGUCUCGUGUCAAAAACAUCUCAGUCAUCCGAUCUGAAGCUCUGGGGAACAAGCGGAAGCUGCCUCUAUCGCAGAUGAACCCACUCGGCGCUUUUCACAAACAAUGUGGAGCUGCUGGACGACGGCGACCUCCUCUCUCCGAUUCAGCUCAGAUAAACAUAUCUACUAUGGAAGAAAGCCUAGAACUAAUAAAUGCUGGUACCACAGACGGUGAUGAGAUUACCUGCUGGACUGUUCAGACCGGCACCCAGCAUUACCGAGAAAAAAAUGAGCAAGUGUACAUGUUGAAGCCAAAGGUACGACAAACUACAAGAUACCCACCACCAUCAACACCGGGUGAUGAGAGCAGUGUACCGCAUCAUGGACAUAUGAUGCAUGCCGCUAUGCAUAAACAAUGACACCACACAAGCAUGCUGGAACCAAUCGUAGAGACGAGUGAGGUAGAAAAUGAAGCUGCUAAUGGCACGGACACUGGCUACAUUGAAAGCUGUACUAAAGUUGUUGAUCAACAAACCUACGAUCAAGACUACGAGCCUGUCUAUGUUCUCAUACCAAAAACACGAGAUCAUGCGCAAGCUACACCACGCGUGCAAGCAGAGCACUCGUUGACGCGUGAUGUUCCACCAACAAAAGAUGAAGCCAUUGCCAACAUCAAAACUGGGCAUCUGCAAUUCGCUUUCAGCAAAACAACUUGAGCAACAAGGGUUCUACUCAAAACAGUCUCCUCACAGAACCCAUUAUGGAGCCAACAUCCUAUGAGGAAACACAGCAACAGACCGACCUCAUCACGACUGCUACCACCACGAGAUCCACUACUCCGUGUGCCUAUCGUCACACCACCAUGUCCAAUACAGCAUGGACACUUGCAAACACCAGCAGAGCUCUGAUCAUACACGCACAGCACAGACAUUCCUGCUCAACAAGUUCCAGUGCUAGGACAGGAAUUCAAUUCAUCUGAUGAUGCAUUCAAUUUUUUUAAUGACUACGCCAAACAUGUUGGGUUCGGGAUAAGGAAAGGACAGAAAAAUAAGAAGAAAUGCUACUUAUAUUGCGUACACUCUGGCAAAUACACAUCCUCUGUUCACGAUGCAGAUCGUCGGCGCAACAAAGUAACAAAAAGAACUGAUUGCAAGAUAAUGAUGCUCUUGAAAGAAAGAGACGACGGGACUUGUGUUGUCAAAGAUAUUGUGAUUGAACACAACCACAGGCUCCUUGACAGCCCGUCCGCGCUCGUCUUUCUGUAUUCACACAAAACGAUAGAUCCAACAGUAAAAGAAUACAUAAAAGACCUGCAUAAGACAAAUGUUAAGCAUGUGAAUAUCAUGAGUCUCCUUUCUUGGUUAUCUGGUGGGCGCGACAAAUUGCCUUUCACAGACAAGGACGUGCU